AGCAGUAGCCACGGUAAUACGGAGGGGGCUAUCGUUGUUCGGAAUUACUGGGCGUAAAGCGCACGUAGGCGGCUUGGUAAGUUAGAGGUGAAAGCCCGGAGCUCAACUCCGGAAUUGCCUUUAAGACUGCCGAGCUAGCAGGUGAGAGAGGUAAGUGGAAUUCCGAGUGUAGAGGUGAAAUUCGUAGAUAUUCGGAAGAACACCAGUGGCGAAGGCGGCUUACUGGCUCAUACUGGACGCUGAGGUGCGAAAGCGUGGGGAGCAAACAGGAUUAGAUACCCCUGUAGUCCCUGUCUCUUAUAC
rnacentral:rRNA from 1 species